rnacentral:rRNA from 1 species
AUGGGGUGACGCAGUAGGGUAGUGACGCGGACUGAUGGAUGUCCGUCUAAGCAGUGAGGCUGGUGUGUAGGCAAAUCCGCACAUCGUAAGGCUGGGCUGUGAUGGGGAGCGAAAAUUGUAGUAGCGAAGGUCAUGAUCUCAGACUGCCAAGAAAAGCCUCUAGCCAGGAGAAGGUGCCCGUACCGCAAACCGACACAGGUAGGCGAGAAGAGAAUUCUAAGGCGCGCGGAAGAACUCUCGUUAAGGAACUCGGCAAAAUGACCCCGUAACUUCGGGAGAAGGGGUGCCUCGGUAGGGUGAAUAGCCCGAGGGGGCCGCAGUGAAAAGGCCCAAGCGACUGUUUAGCAAAAACACAGGUCUGUGCGAAGCCGCAAGGCGAAGUAUACGGGCUGACGCCUGCCCGGUGCUGGAAGGUUAAGGGGAGUGGUAAGCCUUCGGGCGAAGCUAUGAACCGAAGCCCCAGUAAACGGCGGCCGUAACUAUAACGGUCCUAAGGUAGCGAAAUUCCUUGUCAGGUAAAUUCUGACCCGCACGAAUGGCGUAACGACUUGGGCGCUGUCUCAACGAGAGAUCCGGUGAAAUUUUAAUACCUGUGAAGAUGCAGGUUACCCGCGACAAGACGGAAAGACCCCAUGGAGCUUUACUGCAGCUUGAUAUUGAAUUUGGGUACGAUCUGUACAGGAUAGGUGGGAGCCGUAGAACUUUGAGCGCCAGCUUGAAGGGAGGCAUCCUUGGGAUACCACCCUGAUCGUAUCUAGGUUCUAACUUGGUACCGUGAUCCGGUGCGAGGACAGUGUCAGGUGGGCAGUUUGACUGGGGCGGUCGCCUCCUAAAGAG